CACGACACCUGCUGGCAGUGGAACACAACCAGGGCAUACCGACUCCUCAGAACAGACAGAGACGUCCCUUCGUUUCAUAGCAAUUGACAAUUGUGGACAAUUCCCUGUUAUUCCUAAUGGUGUUAUUACGGAAACUACGAGAUUCUCUUUGAAAUACGAGUGCCAACAUUUAUACAAACUAGUGGGUCCAGCUACAGUGAAGUGUAUCAGGAGUGGCAUGUGGUCAGACUUACCCGUCUGCAGAGCUGCCUUCUGUGCUGUGAACACUGAUGACAAUCCUCAGUACAUAUCUGUAGGAACUGUAUACAUACCAGUUGGUGAGGAAAAGAGAGUGGAAUGUGUGAAACCACAUAGCUGGUCAUUUAACCAUUAUUCUACAGUUCGGUGCUUCAAUGGAAGAGUGGAGGCGACUGAAUGUUGUAACAAGUUGGAGCAUGCAUUGAGCUGCGACUAAAGCUGUAGCUGUGGAUUUGCUCACCAGCUUGGAGCUUUUGAAGGAGACAACUGAGUUAUGACCAUACGGUCACCCAGUGUCUGUGUUUCAUUUGGAUCUUCAAAUACUGUCAGAGAAAAUGUUUAAAUGUGAAAGAAAAACACCACUGACCUGAAUAAAGUCUGAAAUUUUACCAUUAAAA